rnacentral:rRNA from 1 species
GCUGGCGGCGUGCCUAAUACAUGCAAGUCGAGCGAACAGAUAAGGAGCUUGCUNCUUUGACGUUAGCGGCGGACGGGUGAGUAACACGUGGAUAACCUACCUAUAAGACUGGGAUAACUUCGGGAAACCGGAGCUAAUACCGGAUAAGAUUUUGAACCGCAUGGUUCAAUAGUGAAAGACGGCCUUGCUGUCACUUAUAGAUGGAUCCGCGCCGUAUUAGCUAGUUGGUAAGGUAACGGCUUACCAAGGCAACGAUACGUAGCCGACCUGAGAGGGUGAUCGGCCACACUGGAACUGAGACACGGUCCAGACUCCUACGGGAGGCAGCAGUAGGGAAUCUUCCGCAAUGGGCGAAAGCCUGACGGAGCAACGCCGCGUGAGUGAUGAAGGUCUUCGGAUCGUAAAACUCUGUUAUCAGGGAAGAACAAACGUGUAAGUAACUG